CCUACGGGUGGCAGCAGUGAGGAAUAUUGGUCAAUGGGCGAGAGCCUGAACCAGCCAAGUCGCGUGAAGGAUGACGGCCCUACGGGUUGUAAACUUCUUUUGUCAGGGAGCAAUUGAGUCCACGUGUGGUCUUAGCGAGAGUACCUGAAGAAAAAGCAUCGGCUAACUCCGUGCCAGCAGCCGCGGUAAUACGGAGGAUGCGAGCGUUAUCCGGAUUUAUUGGGUUUAGGGGGUGGGUAGGCGGAAUAUCAAGUCAGCGGUAAAAGCCCGGGGCUCAACCCCGGCCCGCCGUUGAAACUGGCAGUCUCGAGUUGGAGAGAAGUAUGCGGAAUGCGCGGUGUAGCGGUGAAAUGCAUAGAUAUCGCGCAGAACUCCGAUUGCGAAGGCAGCAUGCCGGCUCCACACUGACGCUGAGGCACGAAAGCGUGGGUAUCGAACAGGAUUAGAUACCCCGGUAGUC
rnacentral:rRNA from 1 species